rnacentral:rRNA from 1 species
CGGUGGUUCCGAGUGGAAGGGCCAUCGCUCAACGGAUAAAAGGUACGCCGGGGAUAACAGGCUUAUCGCCCCCGAGAGUUCACAUCGACGGGGCGGUUUGGCACCUCGAUGUCGGCUCAUCGCAUCCCGGGGCCGGAGAAGGUCCCAAGGGUCGGGCUGUUCGCCCGUUAAAGCGGUACGUGAGCUGGGUUUAGAACGUCGUGAGACAGUUCGGUCUGUAUCCGUCGCGGGCGCAGGAGCGCUGCGGGGCGCCGUCCCUAGUACGAGAGGACCGGGAUGGACGGACCUCUGGUGUACCGGCUGUCUGGCCUCAGGCAGCGCCGGGUAGCCACGUUCGGACGGGAGAACCGCUGAAAGCAUCUAAGCGGGAAACCCCCCCCAAGAUGAGCGCUCCCGGGUCGCAAGACCCCUGAAGGGCCGUCCGAGACGAGGACGUCGAUAGGCGGCAGGUGUAAGCACGGUAACGUGCUCAGCCAAGCCGUACUAAUCGCCCGUGUGGCUUGGCCUCCCAAUAACC